CAACCCAGCAGCAUGGAAACUCACUGGAGGGCGCAGUGAUGAUCUGAUACUUUGGCUGAAUCCCGAACCGGAGUUUUGACCUUUCUGAAAGGGACGUGGCAAAGCAGAAGCCCAGAGACCUUGGCAUCCACAGCCGUGAAUAAUUGCCCUUUGGCACCUACUGAAUCUAUGAACCAGGCUACCUCUGUUAAUUCUUUCAUGAGUUUUGUUUUCUUUGUUGAAAAGUUGAGAAUGGGACUAUUGACUUGCAUUCUUCGCAGGACCCGGUGAUGCAGUGUAAUUCAGCAGCUGGUACUGGAAGGACCUGGGUUCAAAUCUCAGCCCUGCCACUUACCAGCUGUGUGACCUGGGGCAAGUUACUAAAUCUCUCUGUGCCUUGGCUUUCUCACCUGUAAACUGGAGAUAACGGAGUGCAAAAUAGACUGAAGACUGUGAGGUCUGGAGACAAGGUUUACUAGUGAACUCUUGCAUUCGAACAAGCACUGAAUUGCUAACAAACUAAUCCAAUCCUCCAUUAAGAGCAUUGGUCACAGGGUAUGAAUGAAUGCUUAGCUCUGUGCGAGGAAUGACUAGGGAUACAGGGGAACAGAAAACCUGGUUUACGCCCGGAGAUACCAACAAUCCCAUGAGAGGAGACCAGUUGUACCUAGGUGAAACAAGACAACAAAAUCAAGGGUGUGAUGAUUCAAUGCAAAUUCAGGCAGAAGGCUCAGGAGGUACACCGUGCCCAGAGGUGAAGUGCGGCCAGCUAGCUUCUUGGGUACAUUUGUGUAUUUGAUAACCUGUUUGGAAUUAGCCAUACAUUUCCGUCCGCUGGGGCAGGCCAGUCCUAGCCAGGACUCAUAUGUCCUCCGAUGAAACAUUAUUUUGGGGACUGGUGGCUGGCAACCCCUGACCUGGCUUCUGUUCUGCUGGCCCCAUUGGCUGGCUCAUUUCCAGCCUCCGCUUUCUCUGCCCUUGUGGUGGCCACAUGGUCCAACUUCUCCUUGUCACGUCUUCAGCAAUGCUGGGGGCCUGGGGUGACUUAACAGGGUUAAUAUUCAUUUCAUGUCACUUGGAAGAUGCCAAGCCAACAUCGCAGCAAAUCUCAUGUCCCUACCCUCUCCAGCUGGCCCAGGUUGAAGGUCCUGGAGAAGGCCAGGUGACCUGAGGUCUCCCUCUGGGAAAGGGACUGUUGAAACGCCUUUAAACCGUCUUGGCCUUUGAGACCUGUUUGGCUGACUGUCAUCCCUUCCACCAUCCUCUGUGUGCCAAGAUCUAUGUUAAUCUUCCUGGGCCGCAUAGGCCAUGUGACCUCUGAUGAAAUCAAACAUCUGGGCAGUUAAUCUACAGACCUGCUUCUAAUUGGACUAAUUGGCACGGAAUUGGUAGAGCUGGAGAGAGACCUGCUGUUCCUCUCUGGGCUCUCAGUGCCAAACAAAAAAGCAACUGGUCAGUCCUUCAGGCUGUGGAUGCCCUGGAACAGUUGAAGACCCAGUUUGCUCAAUAGACAACUAUCUACUUGCCUCUUUUCCCCUCCCCUUCCCCCUCUGUGCACCAACAUGUGCUUCAGAAUGUGAUUUUCAUGAAUCAUGUCCCUGUAUCUUGUUUUGGAAACCAUCAGUGACUGCUGUAAACAUAGCAUCAAAUGCCCCUGCUCUUUGGGUAUCCUGAGAUAUAUAGUGGCCACAGUGGCUAAUUGAUGGACAGUCCUUCAUUUAUCAAAUGUAUUGAAUAAGCCCGUUGUGAACAGAUCUUUAUUGAGCACCUACUAUGUGUUAGAGGGCAUCACAGGGCAG
rnacentral:lncRNA from 1 species